CACACACACACACACACACACACACAAAUAAAUAAAAGGCAUAGAGAGGAAGAAAAAGAAAAAUCAAAAAACAAAAAAAAAUAUAAUUUGGGAGAAACUUAAGUAAUCGGGUAAAAAAGUAUUUUGGAAUUAAGCAAUGAUGCAGGGCAUAGUGACACAUGCUUGUAAUCCCAGUUCUUGGGAGGUGGACACAAGAGGAUCUGUUGUUCAAGACUAGCCUCAGCUGUGUGGCAAGUUUGAAGUUAGCCUGGGCUACAUGAGAUCCUGUCUCAGAAACAAAUAACAACAAAAGGAAUUAAACAACCUCAAGAUUCCUUUUCUUCAUGAUAUUAACAAAGAAUUAUAAGCAAAGCAUGUAGCAUGGGUCAGAAAAACACCCUGUAGUCAAUGCCAAAUAGCAGUGUGUAAAAUAGGGUGACAUGGUAAAAUGGACAGUUAAAUAAUCAAAUCCCUGGAUUUUGGUCCCCAUUGCUCUUUUUCUUGACUGUGUGAUCUUCAGUAACUUCUCCUUUCAGGCUCCAACCUUCCAGGUGUGUGAUAUAAUGGAGAUGCAGUGUGAUUCUGCAAGUUGCCUCAGGGAAGGUGUGGCUUUCCUGGCAUCUGCUGCCCAGAAUCCGACAGGCUGUCAGAGCGUGCUCGAUGACGUUGUGGAAACAGGAGUGUGGUAAUGAGAGGCCCUCAGAUCCCAGAGGACACCACAAGAGAAGUCAGCAAAGAGCUGAAGACUCCAGCAACCAUAGGAAUGAACAGGACAGAAGAAUAAAGCUUCCACCCAGACCCAAACGUGUUUGACUCACUGCUACAAGAUUCUUCUCCCCUGGCUCCAGGAGCCCUUCCCAGUGAGGAUACAGGAAGACAUCAGGAGACGGUAUGGAGCUUAAUUUGGAGACCGCUGACAGAGGCCCUGUAAAAUGUGCAUAAAGCAAGCGCGUGUGCCACUGAGAGUCUCUGGAAGGCUGUGAAGAUUUAGCACAAGCCAGUAAAGUGCUCACACAGUGUGGUUUUCACUGGCCUCUUGUUUCGUGAAGCACAGACCACUUAAGAGAUCCGCCUGCAUGCCUGGCUUGAUGAUAGGAUUUCCAAUCUGAAAUUGUACCAAACAAAUAACGGCGCUAGGUAAUCAGUUUCCCAUGCUUGGUUCUGCUCUUCAUGUAAUAUUCAUAUCAAGACUUCCUGAAAACUUUUAGCGUUUUAGAAUUCCUUAGACCCAGCUCACUUUAUGACAGUCUUUAGUGCUCUGGCCAUCAGCGCCAUCCUUUGAAAUCACCGUGUCUCUGCCGUGUAUUCCCUGGAUGGCCGUUAGCGACGGGGCCAGUCGGAUCGUCUGAUUCUUUUGUUUGUCUGUUUCAUUGCUCUUUCUCACAGUGUUCCUUAAUUUAUGAUUCUAACCUCACAAUAUUCUAGGGCUGACUUUUAUUGAAUUUUGCAUCAGGACUAAAGGUGGCUUUUUUUUGUUGUUGUUUUGUUUUCAGCUACUUGUGCCAACACAGAUGCUGAACAAAUCACAGGAAAUUAAAUCAUGUUUUUUAAUUUUCUGCUCAUAGUCUACUCCCUACUGCCGCCGCCCCCGCCCCCACACCCCCAGCACCUUCUUUUGAGACUGGUCUGGUGUAUAUAGUUGAGUAUGGCCUUGAACUUCCGAUCCUCCUGUCUGUACUUCUUGAGUGCCAGGAUUGCAGGCAUGAGCCAGCCACCUGUUUUAUGCAGUGCUGAGGAUAGAAAUCACAGCUUUGUACAUGCCAGGCAAGCCCUCUGACAGUGAGCUAGAACCCUAGCUAGCCCCAGGCCUCCCUGGUCUCCAUGGUAACAAAGCCCACUUCCGUUAUCAGACAAGGUCAUAAGGUCCAAAGGAGGCCAGUUCGAAUCCUUCUCCAGAUUGUUCCUACAGGUGUGCUGAGAGGUUGUUGACUGUGGAACAGAGGAGUUAGAGGCAGAGAUGAGAGACCAAUAAAGAGAAGCCCAAAGCAGGCGCGCCAUCCUCAGGCAUCCCCUGGACCAGUCCUCUGUGGCUUUUCCUGUGGAUGCGGUAUAGGAGACUUAUACCCACUUAAGUGACCUUGAGCCAGUAAUUACUGUUAUUUGCUAAUAACAACUCCACAUUGACACAGAAAUAAAGCACGUAAGUAUAAAUGUACUUAACCUGUGGUAGGGCCGCCUGGAAAAUUCUUAAACUGAGGUUUUUGUUUCCCUGGUUAAUUUCCAUGAAGCAAUUCUUAGUUAUACCUCGUACUCUGAUUUCUUGUUUGGAGUUAGGGACAGGGAGUGACUGCCAGUCUUCAUAUUCUUUGUAUUAAUUCGUGUUAAUGAAAGCUCUAGAGUUCUGAUUGGUGAAUGCUCAGGUCCAAUGUUACCUGUCAAGACGCAACUGUGAUUGCAUCAAGAGGCUGGGAUGUUGGUUGGGGUCGGUGUUAGCAUUCAGACAUUAUUCCUGCCCUCCCCCUGUCACGGGGCAGGAUGCACUUGUCAAGCAUUCAGGCAAAUACUUAGUCAGGGUCCUAUAAGCUGUACGUCACUACAUACUUAAGUUCAUGUGCUGUGUGGCUAAGUAAGGCUCUGUAGGCAUGCCCAGAGGCCCCAGUUUUUUUAAGUAAGCUCUGCCCACUCCUCUGUCUCUUCAUCUCUUCCCUUUCCCAAUUGACCUUCACGACCUCCUCUUAAGGCCCCUUCCCAUCAAUAAACUUCUUCUUAGAUUUGUUGUCUAUCAUGAUUUGUUGGCUUCUGCUAAACUACAGCAGUCAGUCUUACGUACAUCUCUGUGGACAACUGUGUCUCCAGGACAGGGCCACCUGAUGCUCUGCCAGAAGCAAGGGGAGGAGGCUCUUCUGUCCCAUUCUCUGGGUCCUCUGAAAGAAGGCAACCCGAAGUGCCAAAAUUUAAGAGGGCAAACUGAGGUGAACUUGUUCUGCAUUUUCUCAAUUUCUCAGAAGAAUGAAAAGACCCUGAGCCCAAUUUAGAGCAUGAGGGAAGAUAGCAAAAGUACCUGACAAAAAACAACCUA